CACCACCCCACACACACACACACACACACACACACACACACACACACACACACACACACACACACACACACACACACACACACACACACACACACAAAAUGUCUGACCUGAACUAUUCCUGGGUUGCAUAUUUCAUUCCUGUCUGCCCUCAAGCAGCCAACAGAAAUCCAGCGGUUCUGAUUUACCUGCGGAUAAAUCUAAGGGCAUAUGUGUUGGAUUUAGCGCCAUAGUACAGUUUAGAGUUUACAGCGUUGCUUUAUGACGGAAGCUCAUGCAGCUGGUCCCCAGACAGACAGCUGCGACUUUGAUGUUGGACUCCAGUCAUAAACAAGGAGCUUCCUUUAUUCAAGCCGCACCCGUCGAAGGGUUGUCAUGGAGUCGUCAAAUGAAAUGGGUCAACCACUUCCCACCAAGGACUUAACCCCGGUCAGUGGCUCAAUGGAGAAGGGGGGUAUGAUGUACUCUGUGUAAGAGUAUUUUUUGUCAUGCAAUAGCUGCCAGUCAACAGGCGGCGAAAGACGACACUGUUUUUUUGAGACUACACGUCUUGGAACACACACACACACGCGCACGUACGUACACACGCGCGCGCCACAACACACACAGAAAAGCACACAAACACAUACACAAAUUCUAUCCCAUAAACCAAACAGAGCCCCCGAACGAAGACUUGAAGACAAAUAAUGCUAUUUCCAAAUAACUGCCAGUCAGAGCAGCAUUCAUCAACACCAAAGGCACCAGGAGAUGAGUCACACUCAGCUGCGGGGCCUCUACGUGCGACAUCAGCCAUUUGUCUUCAAAACAUUGGCGUUUGUUACAGAGUCCAAAAAGAAAAACCUGUUCCCUGUUGCGGGCCAACAAAAUAUGGUGAUUGUACUUUUUUGUCUUUGUGUUCCAGAACGGUGAAUAGUGAGGGAGUGAGUGAGUGUAUGUGGGUGAGCGUUACCUGAAGCUCAUUGGCAAAUGUAGACCGAGUGCAGUGAGGUUUACCGGAUGACUCGAUAAACAAAGAUUGCUGCGGCCAUAGUGAAGGGUAAGUUGAGAUGUAUUUUCAUUACAUUUGUACCAUGUUGGUUGUUCUAAUGUUCUUUUAAAUGCUUUUAUACACUUUUUGCUUUAAUCCGGUCACCAUUUUAGGCAUUGGACGGUCUUGUUUGGCAUGCAAUUUAAUGUAAAUGUUUGUUUUCAAGCUGGUUUGCCAAAGAGGCUAAAGUAGCAAACAAUAAAUGACAGUCUGCUACUGCACUUGUUUGCUCGAGAAAAAACACGACAGCACUUUUUGAAAUUGAAAUAGGCGAAAAUAGAAAAAUAUUAUUCAAACGUCAACAGAGUUACUUGAAAUGUUUGUGUUUAAUUAAGGUGGGUUUCACCCCAGAGGUUUGUGUUGUUCAUUCACGGCAUACUGCUCAAGACGCAGUCGGUAACAUACAUUGUCUUUUUAUUUUUAUUCCUCCUCAACCAGAGCAUGGUGUGCUUCAGGGACAAGGACAGGACCGUGGUUUACUAUCAGCUGCUUGGGGGCAAACACGACGUGAACCCACCGGUUGUGGGGAUUGAUUGUGCCGGUGUGGUGGUACGCCGGCCAGGUGAACUGAGCCAUCCAAACAGUGCUCCCUGACCAGCAACAGCCCACCAGCUCCCCUUCCCAGUCUCCGGCUUCAUUGACAGCCAGUCCCACGCCAUGGUGAGUGCCCACCAGACCCUCUGACACCCCAAGGUCGCGCAAGCGGCAGAGGGAGGAUGACAUUUUGGACUACCUUGAGAGGUCUGAUGCUGCUGCGACGGCUGCUUCCGACAAAUUGAUGAUGCCACUGAGGGAGGAUCAGAGCAAGCUACCUCCAGUUGUUCAGCAAGAUAGUGGAAAAUAUCUGAGGCGGGCACGAUAACGGACCAACAAGACUUCUUCCAUUCUAUUUUUUUGUAUCUACUCAUUUUGUAUUUUAUUUGCGUUCAAUCUUUAAUUGACUUUCACCUUUCUAUUUUAUGUUAAAUUAACCUUAUGUUUCAAUUUUAUUUGCACUCAAUCUUUCAUUUUACUAUUUUAACUUUUUAUUUUAAGUUAAAUUAAACUUGUUAAUUGUCCUAGUCUUAUUGUUUUUUGAAAUUUUACAUGGGCAUUUUGGUGUGCUUGAAUGUCACCCAAGCUUGUUUAGUUACAAAGGCACCUCACU
ensembl:lncRNA